rnacentral:rRNA from 1 species
GUGGGGAAUCUUCCGCAAUGGACGAAAGUCUGACGGAGCAACGCCGAGUGAGUGAUGACGGCCUUCGGGUUGUAAAGCUCUGUGAUCGGGGACGAAUGGCUGGUAUGCUAAUACCAUAUCAGAGUGACGGUACCCGAAUAGCAAGCCACGGCUAACUACGUGCCAGCAGCCGCGGUAAUACGUAGGUGGCAAGCGUUGUCCGGAAUUAUUGGGCGUAAAGCGCGCGCAGGCGGCUUCUUAAGUCCAUCUUAAAAGUGCGGGGCUUAACCCCGUGAUGGGAUUGAAACUGGGAGGCUGGAGUAUCGGAGAGGAAAGUGGAAUUCCUAGUGUAGCGGUGAAAUGCGUAGAGAUUAGGAAGAACACCGGUGGCGAAGGCGACUUUCUGGACGACAACUGACGCUGAGGCGCGAAAGCGUGGGGAGCAAACAGGAUUAGAUACCCCUGUAGUCC